rnacentral:lncRNA from 1 species
CUUCUGAUAGUGCUCCUUAGGGUGUAGCCUUGAGUGUUCCUACAGUCACUCUGGGAUGACAGUGGUUUUGGCAAGGUUCUCUUUGUCUCUUUUCCUGGCUGUACCCAGAUGUUAAGCUCCACUAAUUGCUGGCUGAUUGUUGUAUUGUUUUCAACAUUACCCUAGGGCAUAUAUUACUUCACAGACUAAACCAAUGAAAGUCAGGCUCACUCAAAAGGAUAGUUUCUGAGGUCAGUGUUUGAGAUUUGGUCUGACCCCAGGUAGUCAGACCAGCAGUCUCUUUCCCUAGUUGUCUCCAAGAAAGUAGCUGGCCUACAGUUUAGCCUAUCUGUCCAAUGACUUUACCAAUCUCCUCCCAGUUGUCUUCCUCCACAACCUCCACUGUUUUUGAGAGCAUCGUUAGGCUUGAACUUCCUAUACUCUGUUGAAAAUGAAGUCAGUUCCUUUGGGAAGAGAUUAGGAACUGUUUUACAGCCUACUACACCCUCCUGGCAAAAUCUCUGGUCCAGCUGGGGUCUCGAGCUGGGAGUGGGGACAAUGGCGUGCUUCUUUCUGAGUGGCACCUUGCUUUAGGAGCUGAGCACUCACUGGAGGGCGACAGCAGUAGCCUCAGUUCUUCUCUGCUUGCUUCUCCCAGCACCACUGCCUUAGGAGCCAUGGCAAGGUCAAUCAGGGCCAGUUUUCUCAGUGGUGCCACAUUCACAGUAAAGCCUUCAUCACAUAAUUGGGAGCUGGGCAGAAGAGAAUCCCCACCUCUUGGCUGCAUUCUCCUGGAACUUAUCUUAAGCAACAGGGAGCUGGGGGCAGAAUGAGAAAUACUGGCUUCCCCAAAAGACAGCCCUCUGAUGGGGAGUGGGAGGAGACAGAACCCUGUGUUUUGGGCUACAACAGUCUGGGGUGGAGUUUCUGUCUCUGAGUUGGGAGAGUGAGAAGGUGGGAGCAGGUCUCGCUUCAAAUACCACAGACUCUCACUGAUUUUACCAAAUUGUAGUAGAUUUUCUUGAAUAAAUGUUUCUUCAUUUGCUGCAUGCCCUUAGGAUAAUUUUUAGAAACUAAAAAUGAUUGUUUUUUAAAUAUGUUUUACCAGUUUUGCUGGGGAAUGGGUUCAUGGAGCUCCGUAAACUGCCAUGCCAAUUAAAUGUCUAAUUGUAGAUGUCAAGUAGGCAGUUGGAUAGACAAGUCGAGUUCAGGAGUGAAAAUAGGGCUGGAGACAGAAAUUUUGGAGACACUGUUACCAAGCAAUGGGCUGCUCUGCUCACCACAAUCUGAGCCCAUCAGUCCUAAGACGUUAGGGAUGGAGAGAGGAAGUUUUAUUUGGAUUAGCUGGCGUAAUCUGGAAGAUGGCAGACUAAUAUCUCAAAAAACUAUCUUCAAGGAUUACAGAAUCUUGAGGCAGUUAGGGAAAAUGGGCAGUAAGGAGGGGGUUUCCUUCAGGCAUGACAAACUCCAGGAUCUUUUAUUAUUCUGUCAUCUGUGAUGAAUAUCUUGUAGGUAUGUUUCCCACCUGUGGUUGGCCUGUUCCUGGAGAGAAACUCAUAGAAGAAAGUUUUAAUUUAUCAAGCUAUUGGGGAAUACAUAUAUAAGCAGAAUUCAUAAAUCAGGAGAGCAUGUGAAGUUUUUUAGAGUACGUGCAGAGCAGUGAGUAGUCACACAGAGGAGGGACUGGGGCCGUUUAGCAUAAUCAGAUGGCCUCACUUUUGCUCACUUACAACAUGAUGUACGCAUGGCAUUUUAAGCAGUGAGAUUGAAUGAGCUUACUUAGGCUCUGUGAAAGAGGGUAGAUGGAGAACAGUGUAGGCAAGAUUUUAAAGGUCAUGCUUAUUGAAGGGAAAUGGAGACACCAUGGACAAUAAGACCAGAGCAGUUUUUGGGCAGACAUGACUCAGCAUGCCCGCUGCAGGCAGCGCAUGCUCCAAACCGAGUAUGUAAACAUAUCUUAUGUAACCUGCUACUGGUUGUGUGCCACUUUUUUUUUUUUUUUUUGAGGAAGAUUAGCCCUGAGCUCACAUCUGUUGCCAAUCCUCCUGUUUUUUGCUGAGGAAGCCUGGCCCUGAGCUAACAUCCGUGUCCAUCUUCCUCUACUUUAUAUGUGGGAUGCCCACCACAGCAUGACUUGCCAGGCGGUGCCAUGUCAGCAUGCGGUAUCAGAACCGGGGAACCCCAGGCCACCGAGAAGCAGAACGUGUGAACUUAACUGCUGUGCCACCGGGCCUGCCCCUGUGUGUCACUUUUGUGUGGAAGUCAUAUGAAAGUGGCAGGAGAAGCCACCGGGGGUCUCCCUCCCCCUGUCUGCCGCAGGAUAAAGCAUGUCUACACCGCCAUCGGCUCUGCGCAUCUUUUUCCAACUCCCUGAACCCUGGGGGGUCCAGUCCUCGGCUGUUCCCCUCCUGAAUACGCUUAUUUUAAGGUGAUUAGCAAUAAGCAUUAUCACUUAUGUGCCAUUAGAGAAAAACUACUAAAGGUACAUAAACAGCUAGGAGACAUUUAGUAAUUUCCUUACCUGUUCUGCAGCUAAUAAGAGCAUGUGACCUGGGGCAAGUUGUUGAGUUGUUUAAUCUCAGUUUCCUCAACUAAAAUGAAGGAGUGGAGCCAGGUGACCACCAAGGCCUCUUUGUGUCCUCCCCACGCCACUUCUAUGAUUCUUUAAAAUCAAAUAACUACAUAUUCUUUAAAAUUAAAUAAAUACACACUUUUGUUUUCUCAAACUCUACGUACUGAUGUAAAUUCCCAUACUCGGUGCUGGCAAGAGUUUAGUGAAAAGGGCUUGCUUGUAUGCUGCUGGUGGGCAUGAAUUUAGCAAUGUGAAUCAAAAUCCUUACUGUCGACGAAAAUAAUCCAUAAAAUUUGGGUGAGUUUAUUCUGAGCUUAAAUCUGAGGAUUAUAACUCGGGGACUUUCUUCCCGAAGGAAGAAAGGGCACCAAAGAAGUGGGGUGUACAGAAUGGUUAUAUACCCCCAGAGAGGAUGUUUCACAUAGGAUUGAAAUGUCCCUUUUACAAUAGUUGUGAGACUGCUCUGUCGGCACAGCGAUUGAUGGAAACAGCAGGUAGGUCUUCUGUCUCAGUGAACACAGCAGGGUGGCAGUCUGUUGUCUCCAGCUGAAUGGUCACAGGUGAGCUGGGUGGUCAAAGGUGAGUUCAGGGAUCAGUUCCUAGCCUAAGGAAAAAUGCUUAUCCCUAAGGAAAUGCUAAUUUGGGGGGAAGUUGCACCUGUAUCUCAAGGGCCUUUGUUCUGGCCAUAGGAGAUGUCUAAGCAGAUAUACAAUGCGUGCUCAAUGGCCACAGUCAGGCCCUUUUGGAAAAAACAAAGUCAGGCCAAAUUACGUUUAUACCAAAUGGCUUCCUCAUAUACUCCAAUAUAUGCUAUUGCUUGCCAUUUUUAUUUGUCAUUACAAAUGUAAAUGCAAUUUGACUCAGUAAUUUCUCUUUCAAGACUCUUCCUCAACUUUAUGUUUUGUUGCAAAGUACUCUACCAGAUAUACUCCAGAAUUUUUAAUAUUCACUAAAGGUCUUUACAGCACUAAUCUAAGUAGAAUUUUGAUGUAUAUGUCAUUUCUCAGUGACUUUAGAAGCUUUUUGAAAUUUAGGCAACGAUGAUUUAAUUUUUCAGGUAAGAUUAAUCUGCCUAGAAGUCAAAGCAUUUUGUAUUAAAAAAUUCUUUUUUAAUUGCAGUUGAAAACACAGAAGUUGGUGAAGUAGACCUCUGUAUGCUAUGUUCUUCAACAGGCUAUGUUCUUCGAAAGGUCUGCACUGUUAAAUUAAUGAAUUCAAAUGUAAAUUCCAGUACAUUUCAU